UACAGAGGUCCCAAGCGUUUGUUCGGAUUCAUUGGGCGUAAAGGGUGCGUAGGCGGCGCGGUAAGUCGGGUGUGAAAUCUCGGGGCUUAACUCCGAAACUGCAUUCGAUACUGCCGUGCUUGAGGACUGGAGAGGAGACUGGAAUUCAUGGUGUAGCAGUGAAAUGCGUAGAGAUCAUGAGGAAGACCAGUGGCGAAGGCGGGUCUCUGGACAGUUCCUGACACUGAGGCACGAAGGCCAGGGGAGCAAACAGG
rnacentral:rRNA from 1 species